GGGGCUGUAGCUCAGUGGUAGAGCUCCUGCUUUGCUCCCAUGAAGCCCUGGGUUCGAUUCCUGGCAUCUCCA
rnacentral:tRNA from 1 species